UGUUAAACGGCCGCGGUAUUUUGACCGUGCAAAGGUAGCAUAAUCAUUUGCCUUUUAAAUGGAGGCUGGUAUGAAUGGCAAGACGGAAAUUUGACUGUCUCUCUUUUAGAAUCUUGAACUUGAUGUCUUUGUGAAGAAGCAAAGAUGAAUUCGUAGGACGAGAAGACCCUAUUGAGCUUAAGUUAAAAAUUACUGAUAUGUCAAUUUUGUUUUAGGCUAAUUAAAGAAAUAAAUUUAGUUUUACCUUAAAAUAAAAAGAUGUUGUUUAAUUGAUACUUUGGUUGGGGCAAUCGCGGAGAAUAUUAAUCCUCCGUUAUAAGUUUGAAAUAAAAGAUUACUAUUUUGAAGUAAUAAGCAUAUUAUAUAAAAUGAUCCACUUAUUUAGUGAUCAAAGGAAUAAGUUACCAUAGGGAUAACAGCGUAAUUUUUUUGGAGAGUUCAUAUUGAUAAAAAAGUUUGCGACCUCGAUGUUGGAUCGGGACUUCCAGGAGAUGCAGCAGUUUCCAAGG
rnacentral:rRNA from 1 species